UGCUCAGUCCCAAACCUUUAAAAUACACAAACCCCCGCCAGGGUACUACGAGCAACAGCUUGAAACCCAAAGGACUUGGCGGUGCCCCACCCACUCAGAGGAGCCUGUUCUGUAAUCGACACCCCCCGCUAAACCUCACCUUCCCUUGCUAAUUCAGCCUAUAUACCACCGUCAUGUCAGCCUACCUUGUGAAAGAUAUAACAUAAGCAAAAUGAAUCCAUCCAUACGUCAGGUCAAGGUGUAGCACAUGGGACGGGAAGAAAUGGGCUACAUUUUCUUAUAAAGAAUACACGGAUAAGCUAAAUGAAAACAACUUUGAAGGCGGAUUUGACAGUAAAAAGAAACAAUUUACAUUCUCUUUAAACCGGCCCUGGGGCGCGC
rnacentral:rRNA from 1 species